rnacentral:rRNA from 1 species
UGGGGAAUUUUGCGCAAUGGACGCAAGUCUGACGCAGCUACGCCGCGUGAGUGAGGAAGGCCUUAGGGUUGUAAAGCUCUGUCAGAGGUGAAGAAAGCCUAAGAGUGAAGAGCUCUUGGGAGGGACGGUAGCCUCAAAGGAAGCACCGGCUCACUCCGUGCCAGCAGCCGCGGUAAGACGGAGGGUGCAAGCGUUGCUCGGAAUUAUUGGGCAUAAAGGGUAGGUAGGUGGUCUGAAAAGUCUGGGGUGAAAGCCUUGAGCUUAACUCAAGAAGGGCCCUAGAAACGUUCAGACUAGAGUCCUGGAGAGGGUCGUGGAAUUCCCGGUGGAGCGGUGAAAUGCGUAGAGAUCGGGAGGAACCCCGGAGGCGAAGGCGACGACCUGGAAAGGUACUGACACUGAACUACGAAAGCGUGGGGAGCAAACAG